GACGAACGCCGGCGGCGUGCUUAACACAUGCAAGUCGAGCGGUAAGGACCCUUUCCGGGGGUACGACGAGCGGCGAACGGGUGAGUAACACGUGGGUGACCUGCCCUCAGCUCUGGGAUAAGCCUGGGAAACCGGGUCUAAUACUGGAUAUGACUCCAUGACGCAUGUUGUGGGGUGGAAAGCCUUGUGCGGCUGAGGAUGGGCCCGCGGCCUAUCAGCUUGUUGGUGGGGUGANGGCCUACCAAGGCGACGACGGGUAGCCGGCCUGAGAGGGCGACCGGCCACACUGGGACUGAGACACGGCCCAGACUCCUACGGGAGGCAGCAGGUGGGGAAUCUUGCGCAAUGGGCGAAAGCCUGACGCAGCGACGCCGCGUGAGGGAUGACGGCCUU
rnacentral:rRNA from 1 species